rnacentral:rRNA from 1 species
GACGAACGCUGGCGGCGUGCUUAACACAUGCAAGUCGAACGGAAAGGCCCUGCUUUUGUGGGGUGCUCGAGUGGCGAACGGGUGAGUAACACGUGAGUAACCUGCCCUUGACUUUGGGAUAACUUCAGGAAACUGGGGCUAAUACCGGAUAGGAGCUCCUGCUGCAUGGUGGGGGUUGGAAAGUUUCGGCGGUUGGGGGUGGACUCGCGGCUUAUCAGCUUGUUGGUGGGGUAGUGGCUUACCAAGGCUUUGACGGGUAGCCGGCCUGAGAGGGUGACCGGCGACAUUGGGACUGAGAUACGGCCCAGACUCCUACGGGAGGCAGCAGGGGGGAAUAUUGCACAAUGGGCGGAAGCCUGAUGCAGCAACGCCGCGUGCGGGAUGACGGCCUUCGGGUUGUAAACCGCUUUCGCCUGUGACGAAGCGUGAGUGACGGUAAUGGGUAAAGAAGCACCGGCUAACUACGUG